rnacentral:rRNA from 1 species
AUGAGACACUUCAUGACAAACUUUUACUAUGCAUGCAAGAGCAAGAAGUUUUGCAAAGACCUUACCCAUGUUUGUGUGGCAUUCAACACCAACACAUUUCAAAAAAAUGAUAUGACAAACUCUUCUUGGCAUUGGAAAAGAACAAAGGGGGGAGAGAAUUCUAGGCAUCUUCCAGAGAAGCAUAAGUGGUCGCACACUUACGACGAAGGUGGUAUGAGAUACGGAGAUAUGACAAGUAACAUGGUGGAAUGCUUCAACAACGUUCUCAAGGGUGUCCGUUCAUUGCCAGUGACUGCCAUUGUGAAAUAUACGUUCUUCAAGCUCAACGAGUAUUUCCUAAGGCAUUCCCGAGUCACCGCCAACUGGAUAGGUGAAAAUAAAGACUAUCCCUUCAAGGUUGAGGACUGGUUGAAGUAUCAAGCACACAAGUCCUCACAUCAACAAAUCAUUAGACUCAAUGAAAAAGAAAUUAUCUACCAAGUCGACGAGCCGGGUGGCACAACAAGGGACGGGGUAGCGUACGGUGGUGUUUUGUACGAGUUGCACCUCAAGAACCGGCGGUGUCAGUGCGUGAGGCCUCACAAGUACCAUUGGCCUUGCUCGCAUUUGAUGACCGCGGCUAGGGCGAGAAACUUGCGUGUUUCAGAUGAAACCACCGUGCGGCUGCAUGAGUUCACAUACGAACAAACGAGGUUGACAUGGGCGCCUCAGUUCCGUCCCUUUCUAGAUCCUUCGCAAUGGCAUGAGUAUGAUGGGCCACAUAUCGUUCCCGAUCCCAAACUCAUGGCGCCUACCAAGGGUAAAAGAAGAAGAAAGAGGUUAGAAGUGACAUGGAUGAUCUAG